rnacentral:tRNA from 1 species
AUCUGGGUAGCUCAGUGGAAUUGAGAGCCAGUUUUAGAGACUGGAGGUCCUAGGUUCAAAUCUGGCCUCAGACA